rnacentral:tRNA from 1 species
GGCAUCAGCCGGGAAUCGAACCCUGGGCGCCCGCGUGGCAGGCGAGCAUUCUACCACUGAACCAAAAGC